AGCAAAAUGGCAUUGGGCCAACGUUUGAAAUCUUCGUUGGGCCAACGAAGAGUCUGCCGUUGGCCCAACGUUGGGCCAACGCAUGUCUGCUAUCUGGGCAGUAUAUGACACGAGUUUUCAAGUGGUCCUGUUAGUGUAACACAUAUAGUAUAUACGUUUUAAACUAUUAACAGAAUGAACACAUCUGUGCUUACUGUGCAUGAUAAGAUAUUGUGGAUACUAUUUUGCAAUUCAAUUAUAUAAACGUCUUAGGAUUCUAAUAGCGUCAAUUUGUCAUUCUUCAGAAUUAAUAAUUGCUCUUCGGAACUCAGUUUAAAAAAAACAAACAAAUUUAUUGAUACAGGGGAGAAUCAAUAAAGAAUUAUCAACAUUCAAACACGCAAGGCAAUUAUUUCGAAAAAGAGUUCGCAUGCUAGUUCCCACAUACUGGAUUCAGAUUCAUUGGUAAUGGAGGCCUUGUGUACUAUGUAAUACUAAGGUUGGAUCUUUAAAAGCGACCACGUUACCUAACUGGAAUAGUGUUUUCAAGUAGAUGUAUUUUCGUAUUACUUUGAAUAUUACAAAUAUAUGUACAUUUGUUUUCGUAAUGUGAAAUGAUAACGUUUCUCGAAAAUGUCAGGACAGAAACAUUCAAUAAUUACAUUCUAACCAUAUCAAGUUGUGUAAGAUGUGCAAACAGUGA
rnacentral:lncRNA from 1 species